rnacentral:rRNA from 1 species
GUCUAUGGCCAUACCACCCUGAACACACCCGAACUUGUCUGACUGUGGACGCCAAGCAGGGUCAGGCCUGGUUAGUACUUGGAUGGUAGAGAGCAGAAGUGAUGGGCA